rnacentral:rRNA from 1 species
AUGGAUAGUGUCAACCGUAACUGCCUCUCGUUUCUAUCUUGGAAUGUUCAAGGCCUCGGUGACAAGGACAAAUGCUCUCUUGUCCGCGGUGCCGUGAUUGAUGCUAACCCCCAUGUUGCAUGCAUCCAGGAAACGAAACUCGCCUCACUUACCUUAGGCAAAGAUCGAUCGUUCCUCUCCCCCUGUCUCUCGUCUUUCAAGCACCUGGACGCGGACGGCUCACGUGGCGGGCUGAUCACGGCCUGGGACAACGCUGCGCUCCAUCUCGUCUCCUGCCACUUUGGCAGGUACACUCUUUCCAUCGAGUUUUCCUCCACCUCCUCUGAUCUUGGCUUCGUGAUUACUAACGUCUACGCCCCACCUGACCACGCCUUCACGCAAGAUUUUGUGGAUGAGAUGACGGCUAUCUCUGUUACAGUCUCGGGGCCCUGGCUUGUGCUUGGCGAUUUCAACCUUAUCAGAUACCCCGAGGAGAAAAACAAUGACAACUUCUCCGCAUCUCUUGCGUCGAGAUUCAAUGCCAUGAUUGAUGCCCUCUCGUGGGUUGAGCUCCCUCUCUCUGAUCGCUUGUUCACUUGGACAAAUCGGCGCACCCCACCCACCCUCGCGCGCCUCGACCGUGCAUUUUUUAACGCUGAUUGGGACGUGGCUCUCCCCAACUCCACCCUUGCCUCCCGCCCUCGUGUCACCUCCGACCACGUCCCGCUCCUGGUCACUGCCUCCACCCACAUCCCAGCCUCCCGUCAGUUCCGUUUUGAGAAUAAAUGGCUCCUUGACCCCUUGUUCCUCCCUUCUACUUCUCCUUCCUGGGCUCUCCCAAGCAGGACCGCGGAUGGUGCUAAAGACAUUGCUGCUAAAGUUAAGUCCUUCCGUCGUGCUGCAAAGGUUUGGAAGGCAAGUCACCGGUUUGUCCCUCGCCAUGAUAAUAACUGCAGAUUUCUUAUUGAUCUAUUUGACUUUCUUGAGGAAUACCGUGUGCUUUCUGUGGAGGAAGUGGCGUUGCGGGUUGAUGCCCGUGCCGCCUUGGCCUUCUCGGUUCGUCAACAGGCGGCAUUCUGGCGCCAGCGUGGGAAAUUUUGCCGGGUGGGCGAGGGUGAUGAGAACACCCAAUUCUUCCACGCUCAAGCAUCGCAGCGCUUCUGGUCCAACCGGAUCAAAGCUCUGGAUGUCGGGGGCACGAUCGUCGUCGGUCAUGCCGCCAAGGCGGAGGCCCUGCAUGCCUUCUACUCCGCCCUCAUCGGUCGUGCGGGGGCCCCCGUCUGGCACUUCGACCUGCUGGCGCUGUACGAGGGGGGGCACUAUGGACGGUGCCAAGCUGGUUGCCCCCUUUGA